rnacentral:tRNA from 1 species
GCCAGUUUGAUCUAAUGGUUAAGAUAUCAGGUUAGAAACUAGAAACCGUGAGUUCUAAUCUCUUCAUAGACA